ACUGUUUAAAAAAAACUAUACUAUAUUUUACUGUAUCUUUUUCUAUGUUUAGACAUGCAAAUACUAAUCACUGUGUUACAAUGGCUACAGUAUUCAGUAGUCACAUGCUGUACAGGUUUGUAGCCUAGGAGUAAUAGGCUAUACACAUAGCCUCAGAAUGUAGUAGGCUGGACCAAUCUAGGUUUGUGUAAAUAUAACACUGUGUGAUGUCCACACAAAGAUGAAAUUGCCUAGCAAAACACUUCUCAUAAUGUAUUCCUGUCAUUAAAUGACACAUGACUAUCCAUCUAUUUGUCUGUCUGUCUAUCUAUCUAUCUAUCUAUCUAUCUAUCUAUCUAUCAGCGAGACUAUAAGAGAGAGAGAAAUAGAGGAGAGAGAGAUUUAUGUUAAGGAAUUGGCUCAUCCAACUGUGGGACUGUUCACUCUGAAAUUUGUAGGGCAAGCUGGCAGGCUGGACAUUCCAGCAAGAGUCAGUGUUGUCUAUCGCAAUCUGAAGGCCAUAUGGAGGCAGAAUUCCUUCCUCUUUGGGGGAACCUCAGUCUUUUUUCUUAAUGCCUUGAACUGAUUGGAUAAAGACUACCCACAUAAUAAUGGGUAAGCUGCUUUACUCAAAAAGGACUGAUUUAAAUGUUAAUCACCUUUGAAUAAUACUGUGUUAGUCCAUUCUUGUGUUACUAUAAAUAAAUACCUGAGUCUGGGUAAUUUAUAAGAAAAGGUUUAUUUUAGCUCACAGUUCUGCAGGCUGUGCAGGAAGAAUGGUGCUGGCAUCUGCUUCUGAUAGGGGCCUCAAGAAGCUUCCAAUCAUGGUGGAAGGUGAAGAGGAGCCAGUGUAUCACAAGCUGCUGGGCAGCAUCUGACCCCUCAGUGGAGGCAGUGGUGGGUCACAGGUGUUAAUGUUCAAAGCUUGGCACUGAUGGUUGCAUCAAAGGAAUGAGACCAGAAACUGUAGCAGCACAACAGGGAGCCAUUCACGCCCCAUGAGGAUGGGAAGAGGAUCUCUACACACACUUCCACCAUAAAGGGGGCUUGAAAUUAGAGUAGGGGUGGGUGGGUGGAAGUGGAGCGAGAUGAAGUUCCAGAAAUACAACUUGGUGAGACCCUCAGAGAUCUGGGAUUUUAUUUUCUCUUUGGUGGUCCUGGCCCCAGGAGACCCAGGUCUUGUGGAAGGCUGGAGGAUUUUUGUAAGACUUCUUUAAGGUGCUAUAAUUAAGAGCUUUUGGACAUAUCCAUGGGUGAUGCAUUAAUACCACUCCAGCGCCUUAGCUUCCUUACUCAGCUGCGAUAUACUGAAACAGAAUUCUGAGCUGCAACAAUGGGAUCAACUGAUUUUGUUGUUAAGUAGCUUCUAAGAGCAUUUUGAAGUCUCAAAAAUGCCACUGAGGAAAAGCUCUUCUAAUCCUCUUCUCCUCUUUCCAGCUGCCCCUCUCUGUUGGCUGCAGAAAUAGAUUAACAUUUGUUAGACCUCCAUUGUAAGCAGUCAAGCAAGCAAUCGGGCAUUUUAUCUUUGGUAUUUGAUUGAACGUAGAAGGUAUUUUUCAUUUAUAUUUUUGCCUGAAGGGAAAGGGGAAGCAGAUAAAAAGAAGAAAAGGCAUUGCUCUUAUGUACUUCUCUUGGAUAUAAAAGUUGUAAUCUAAUGUCAUACUCCAGCUCUUUUCAAUUCAAUGAAUAUUCCUCCAUUAUCUGACAAAACACCCAGUGCUGGGAUAUGGGUACCUGACAUGUAAGGGAAUGUUGCAGAGGU
rnacentral:lncRNA from 10 species